rnacentral:rRNA from 1 species
GAGCCCUAAAAAGCUCUUUAAACACACAGGUCUGGUCCUGGCCUUAAAAUCAACUUUAUCUCAACCUACACAUGCAAGUUUCCGCCCACCCGUGAGUACACACCCUACCUCUACUUAGAAUAAAGGACCUGGUAUCAGGCGCACUCGCCCAAGACACCUAGCUACGCCACGCCCACAAGGGUUUUCAGCAGUGACCAACAUUGUCAAUAAACGCAAGUUUGAAUCAGUUAGAGAUUACAGAGCCGGCAAAGAUGGUGCCAGCCGCCGCGGUUAAACCAUACGACUCAAAUUGAUUUCUAUCGGCGUAAAGCGUGACUAAAGUUCAACACAAACUAGGGCUAAACCUUGACUUCACUGUGAAACUCAUGUCAAAAAGAAAUCCAAAAACGUAAGUUACCCUACCCCCCACUUAAAUUCACGACAGUUAGGGCACAAACUGGGAUUAGAUACCCCACUAUGCCUGACCGUAAACUUUUACUUACUACACCACUCGCCAGGGAACUACAAGCAAAGCUUAAAACCCAAAGGACUUGACGGUGUCCCACAUCCCCUAGAGGAGCCUGUCCCAUAACCGAUGAUCCCCGCUAGACCUUACCACUCUUAGCUUAUCAACCUGUAUACUUCCGUCCCGCCCACCACGUGAGUGACACCAAGUGAGCCCAAUGUCCCCAACA